rnacentral:rRNA from 1 species
UGGGGAAUCUUCCGCAAUGGGCGCAAGCCUGACGGAGCAACGCCGCGUGAGUGAAGAAGGUCUUCGGAUCGUAAAGCUCUGUUGAUGGGGACGAACGUGCGAAGGGUGAAUAAUCCUUUGCAAUGACGGUACCUAUCGAGGAAGCCACGGCUAACUACGUGCCAGCAGCCGCGGUAAUACGUAGGUGGCGAGCGUUGUCCGGAAUCAUUGGGCGUAAAGGGAGCGCAGGCGGGCAUGUAAGUCUUUCUUAAAAGUGCGGGGCUCAACCCCGUGAUGGGAAAGAAACUAUAUGUCUUGAGUACAGGAGAGGAAAGCGGAAUUCCCAGUGUAGCGGUGAAAUGCGUAGAUAUUGGGAGGAACACCAGUGGCGAAGGCGGCUUUCUGGACUGCAACUGACGCUGAGGCUCGAAAGCCAGGGGAGCGAACG